rnacentral:rRNA from 1 species
AGCGAACGCUGGCGGCAGGCCUAACACAUGCAAGUCGAACGAACCUUUCGGGGUUAGUGGCGGACGGGUGAGUAACACGUGGGAACGUGCCUUUAGGUUCGGAAUAACUCAGUGAAACUUGUGCUAAUACCGAAUGUGCCCUUCGGGGGAAAGAUUUAUCGCCUUUAGAGCGGCCCGCGUCUGAUUAGCUAGUUGGUUGAGGUAAUGGCUCACCAAGGCGACGAUCAGUAGCUGGUCUGAGAGGAUGAUCAGCCACAUUGGGACUGAGACACGGACCAAACUCCUACGGGAGGCAGCAGUGGGGAAUCUUGCGCAAUGGGCGAAAGCCUGACGAAGCCAUGCCGCGUGAAUGAUGAAGGUCUUAGGAUUGUAAAAUUCUUUCACCGGGGACGAUAAUGACGGUACCCGGAGAAGAAGCCCCGGCUAACUUCGUG